AGAGUUUGAUCAUGGCUCAGAAUCAACGCUGGCGGCGUGCCUAACACAUGCAAGUCGAACGAGAAAGCCCGCAAGGGUGAGUAAAGUGGCGACCGGGUGAGUAACACGUAGCUAACCUACCCUCGAGUGGGGGAUAACCUGGGGAAACCUGGGCUAAUACCGCAUCACAUCCCGAUGGCGCAAGCCGAUGGGAGCAAAGGCCCGCAAGGGUCGCUGGAGGAGGGGGCUGCGGCCGAUUAGCUAGUUGGUGAGGUAACGGCCCACCAAGGCGAUGAUCGGUAGCCGGCCUGAGAGGGCGCACGGCCACACUGGCACUGACACACGGGCCAGACUCCUACGGGAGGCAGCAGUGGGGAAUUUUGCACAAUGCCCGAAAGGGUGAUGCAGCAACGCCGCGUGAGGGAUGAAGGUCUUCGGAUCGUAAACCUCUUUCGAUCGGGAAAAACGGCCCUGUGAAGAGCGGGGUCUGAUGGUACCGGAUGAAGAAGCCCCGGCCAACUACGUGCCAGCAGCCGCGGUAAUACGUAGGGGGCGAGCGUUGUUCGGAAUUACUGGGCGUAAAGGGCGUGUAGGCGGUGCGGUAAGUUGGGCGUGAAAUCCCCGGGCUUAACCCGGGGGGGCCGUUCAAGACUGCCGUGCUAGGGUGCGGGAGAGGGCAGUGGAAUUCCCGGUGUAGCGGUGAAAUGCGUAGAUAUCGGGAGGAACACCUGCGGCGAAGGCGGCUGCCUGGACCGUUACCGACGCUGAGGCGCGAAAGCUAGGGGAGCAAACAGGAUUAGAUACCCUGGUAGUCCUAGCCCUAAACGUUGAACACUGGGUGUAGCCCUUCACGGGGCUGUGCCGAAGCUAACGCAUUAAGUGUUCCGCCUGAGAGUACGGUCGCAAGGCUGAACUCAAAGGAAUUGACGGGGCCCGCACAGCGGUGGAGCAUGUGGUUCAUUCGACGCAACGCGAGACCUUACCUGGACUCG
rnacentral:rRNA from 1 species